CUGGCGGCAUGCCGUUAAUACAUGCAAGUCGAAGUCCCGAGCUUCCGUUGAAUGACGUGCUUGCACUGAUUUCAACAUUGAAGCGAGUGGCGAACUGGUGAGUAACACGUGGGAAAUCUGCCCAGAAGCAGGGGAUAACACUUGGAAACAGGUGCUAAUACCGUAUAACAACAAAAUCCGCAUGGAAUUCUUUCCUUGUUUGAAAGGUGGCUUCGGCUAUCACUUCUGGAUGAUCCCGCGGCGUAUUAGUUAGUUGGUGAGGUAAAGGCCCACCAAGACGAUGAUACGUAGCCGACCUGAGAGGGUAAUCGGCCACAUUGGGACUGAGACACGGCCCAAACUCCUACGUAGUGUUGGAGGCAGCAGUAGGGAAUCUUCCACAAUGGACGAAAGUCUGAUGGAGCAAUGCCGCGUGAGUGAAGAAGGGUUUCGGCUCCGAGAGUUUGUGUAAAACUCUGUUGUUAAAGAAGAACACCUUUGAGAGUAACUGUUCAAGGGUUGACGGUAUUUAACCAGAAAGCCACGGGUAACUACGUGCCAGCAGCCGCGGUAAUACGUAGGUGGCAAGCGUUGUCCGGAUUUAUUGGGCGUAAAGCGAGCGCAGGCGGCA
rnacentral:rRNA from 1 species